rnacentral:rRNA from 1 species
UACGUAGGGUGCGAGCGUUGUCCGGAAUUAUUGGGCGUAAAGAGCUCGUAGGCGGUGUGUCACGUCGGCCGUGAAAACCUGCAGCUUAACUGUGGGCGUGCGGUCGAUACGGGCAUCACUGGAGUUCGGCAGGGGAGACUGGAAUUCCUGGUGUAGCGGUGAAAUGCGCAGAUAUCAGGAGGAACACCGGUGGCGAAGGCGGGGUCUCUGGGCCGCAACUGACGCUGAGGAGCGAAAAGCAUGGGGAGCGAACAGG